GCCACGCAAGCGAGCCGACUAAGUUGGCCUAAACUCUUUCAGAGCGCAGGCCGAGGGAGGUCUUGGAAGGGCGUCCAGGAUAGAUAAAUAAGUGUGCGCGCACGCGCUAGGUCGCCCUUUAGUCUCCGCCACAGCGUCCAGCGUUGACUAUCUGUCUGCGUCUCCGCUUCGCUUUCUGUCGCUGAGCUCUCCGAAGCCUCCGGUCCCAGCGUCAGCGUCGCCGCUGCUUCGUUUCUACAGCAUAAGCUCCAUGUCCUCAGCAAGUUCCUCACACCUGAGCUCACUACAACUCUUGGGACCCUUGUUAGAGAAGCACUGACCAAAUAGUAGAGCAGAUUGACUAGUUCUAGACCUCUUCGUAAAGAGAUGUCUCCCUCUCCACUAACUACGUUCAUAUCAUGAACUAGGUACCUGUUCCCUUAGUGCACCUAAACCCAAACAGUGGUACCGAUGAGAAUUCCUCCGUCUUGCGACGUAGUUUAUAGAGCUGGCAAGUCACGACCUUCCAGCACAGUAAUGACAACUCUUCCAUAACGGUUUUCUUACAAUUGAGAGACUAUAAACAGGUAAGAGGAAGAGGAAGAUAUACCUCACCUUAAUAAUACAUGUCUAAUCGGAAGGUUCGAUUUAUAAACUUACAAGAAGAACAAACUUCUAAAACAACUGUCGUCGUCCAACUACGGGUGUCGACAAACCGUAGUUAAGUUUUCUAUGUGUUGGAUUCUAGCUUUGUUACGAUGGAGUUGGUUUCCCAGCAUGCGGGUGGUAAUAACAAAAAGGAAUGGUAAAUACAAGAAGUCUAGGGGUUAUUAAAUAAGCCAGAACGAAAACUGUAUUUUGUGUUCAUGACUAAAACUCGGGGAAGAGGUGGUGUCCGUUUCGCUUCUGCUCCAGCUUGGGGUUGUGGCCCUUCCAUAGACCCGCGGUUUAGUAGCGCACCUUCCUCCAUAAGGGCUUCGUCCAGUGGACAAUCCUCUCUGGCAAUGUCGAGUGCGAUGAGCGGACUCGCUCUUGCGAGAAUAAGAGGAAUAGCGUCUCCUGCUAGUAUGAGAGCAGCACUGUCCGCAUCUAGUAUGAGGGCUUCCUCUAGUAUGUGAGGAAGGCUGUCCAGCCUCAGAGGGAUGCUGUCCGCUUCCAGGAUGAGUGGCAUGCUGUCCGCGUAUAGAAUGAGUGGGGUGGUACCAGUGGCGGUGGCAAGUUCUAGAGGUAUGGCAAUGUCAUCCGCCUCCAGCGCGAGGGUGCUGGCAAGACAAAGUCGUAUGAUGUCGUCCGCGAUAAGAGGUUCCUCGUCUUCUGCCUCGAUGAGAGCGUCGUAUAGCGGUGCGUCCUCGAUGAGGGCGUCGACGAGGGGCCGCAGUCUUCUUAGUUCCUCGACAAGAGGCGCCUUUCCUGCGCGGCCUUCGUUCCGUAGCGCGUCGUCCAGUGGACCCUUCUCCGCAAGGUCUCUUUCGAUACGAGUGUCGGCGUCAAGUACGAGCUCCAGGCAGAGGUCCCUCGCGAGUUGGAGUCGUUCGUGGACUACAAAAUGCUUCGCGGUCCGGUGGCAUAAAGGCAACACUACAACCUUAAAAUCAAUGAAACGUACAAACAUCUGCCACACCUACCAUACUAGCACGUGGAUCACUUCGUCGACAUAAAGCAGUACCAAGACCUGAACGUACGGUAUACAUACGAUAUACGACAUGACCUAUGAAGACACAGACAAAAGUCAGACCAACCGUCAAAUGUAGUACCUAAACCGAUUGCCUAUCAAAACAUGAGGGAGACAGGGUACGAUAUACUACAAUAUAAUACACUGUCUCCCUCAUGGGUACGAUAUACGAGAACAUAAUGCACUGCCUCCCUCAUACAAGACGACUAGACGAGA
rnacentral:rRNA from 1 species